rnacentral:rRNA from 1 species
GACAGAGGUGCCGAGCGUUAGGCGGAAUCACUGGGCUUAAAGCGUGUGUAGGCGGGCGGGCAAGUACCUUGUGAAAUCCCACGGCUCAACCGUGGAACGGCUGGGUAUACUGCCUGUCUUGAGCCAACUAGGGGCGAGCGGAACAGACGGUGGAGCGGUGAAAUGCGUAGGUAUCGUCUGGAACGCCAAAGGUGAAAACAGCUCGCUGGGGUUGUGCUGACGCUGAGACACGAAAGCCAGGGGAGCGAACGGG